GAACCCCUUUUCUAUACGAAGAAGAUGUAAAAACUGUCAUCCGAUACUGAUAUGUUGAGAUGAACUUUAAGUGCAAAUCCUCAAACCCCCACUGUUGCAUAACCAAGAAAAAUGCUAUCACCACACUCUCUGCAACUCUCGACGCUCCAUUCUUCUUCUUUUACCCAUAACGUUUCUCUAAUUUACAAUCCCACCCCUUCUCUUCCAUGGCAUCCAAUGAAAUAUUCUCCAACACAGGUAUCCUGUGUUUCCACCCGACCCAAAAAGAGACCGGUUCCAACCGACGAGAAAUCGGAGGCACAAGAGCUAGUUCGGGUCCUUGUGAGGAGUUUCAGUGACAAACAACCUUUGGUCAAGACACUUAAUAAGUAUGUUAAAGUCAUGAGGACUGAGCACUGCUUUAUGCUGUUUGAAGAGCUUGGCAAGACUGACAAGUGGCUUCAAUGCCUUGAGGUGUUCAGAUGGAUGCAAAAACAACGGUGGUAUGUGGCGGAUAAUGGUUGUUAUUCGAAGUUGAUAUCAGUUAUGGGAAAGAAAGGUCAAACCCGGAUGGCAAUGUGGCUCUUUUCUGAGAUGCGUAACAGUGGAUGCAGGCCAGAUACUUCAGUCUACAAUGCACUCAUCACAGCCCACCUUCACUCCAAAGAUAAAGCUAAGUCUUUGACUAAAGCUCUUGCAUACUUUGAGAAGAUGAAAAGUAUUGAACGGUGCCAACCCAAUGUUGUGACAUAUAAUAUUAUUUUGAGAGCGUUUGCCCAAGCUCGAAAUGUAAAUCAAGUUAAUGCUUUAUUUAAAGAUCUUGAGGAGAGCAUUGUUUCACCUGAUAUCUAUACAUAUAAUGGUGUAUUGGAUGCAUACGGGAAGAAUGGGAUGAUCAGAGAAAUGGAAUCUGUACUUUCUCGCAUGAAAAUUGAUCAAUGUAAGCCUGAUAUUAUUACUUUUAAUUUGCUGAUUGAUUCAUAUGGGAAGAAGCAAGAUUUUGAGAAGAUGGAACAAGUUUUUAAGAGUUUACUAAGGUCCAAGGAGAAACCAACUUUGCCUACAUUCAAUUCUAUGAUAGUAAAUUAUGGGAAGGCACGGCUGAAAGAUAAAGCAGAGAGUGUUUUCAAGAAGAUGGCUGAUAUGAGAUACACACCAAGCUUCAUCACAUUCGAAAGUCUCAUCAUGAUGUAUGGAAUUUGUGACUGUGUUUCUAAGGCCAGAGAUAUAUUUGAUGAUAUGGUUGAAUCAGGAAAGGAGGUCAAAGUUUCUACUUUAAAUGCCGUGCUUAAUGUUUAUUGUAUGAAUGGUUUGCAUAUGGAAGCGCAUAUACUACUUGAAAAUGCACGUAGUAUUGGGGUGCCUCCAAAUUCAUCCACAUAUAAACUUCUUUACAGGGCCUACACCAAAGCUAAAAUGAAGGAGCUUGUGCAGAAGUUGCUAAAGCAUAUGGACAAAGAUGGUAUCAUCCCUAAUAAGAGGUUCUUUGUGGAUGCUUUGGGAGCUUCCAAAUCUUCAGGGGCAAGUUCGGAUUCUACCAUUCCUCUCAAAGAUUCAAACAGUCCACAGAACGUUGCCAAGACUUUGGAAGAAUGAUUGGUAGUUUGCUUUAUGGUUUCUUCUUAUCUUUUCCAAUUCAGAAGGAUUUGUAAAGUUUGUAUCACAAAGGAACAGUUGGCUAGUUUAGCCCCUGGCAGCUCGACUGCUGAAAUGAUUUUGCCAGCAUGCAGCGCGCUGACGUAUAACUGCAGCGACUAUUUUAGCGUUCUCAAAGACCAGGCUGGGAUAUUCGACUAAAUAUCUGCAGAUUAGGAUGACCAAUCUGAUCGCAGCCACAUUCCCUUGGCAAAGAAAGGAACCCGUCACUUGAAUUUUCUCACUUCUUGUGCUUCUGAUGACACCAGCCUGUGAUAGUCCUGCUAAUUUAUCUACCUCCAUGUAACAGCUUGAAAUUCUCGGUUCAGAUGUUCUUUUUUAAGAAUAUGAAACUGUCAUCUUUUAGAUGGAUUCUUUCAA